rnacentral:rRNA from 1 species
GCUGGCGGCAGGCUUAACACAUGCAAGUCGAACGGUAACAGAGAAUAGCUUGCUAUUUUGCUGACGAGUGGCGGACGGGUGAGUAAUGCUUGGGUAUAUGCCAAUAGGUGGGGGACAACAGUUGGAAACGACUGCUAAUACCGCAUAAUCUCUUCGGAGCAAAGCAGGGGACCAUCGGGCCUUGCGCCUAUUGAUUAGCCCAAGUGGGAUCAGCUAGUUGGUAAGGUAAUGGCUUACCAAGGCGACGAUCCCUAGCUGGUCUUAGAGGAUGACCAGCCACACUGGAACUGAGACACGGUCCAGACUCCUACGGGAGGCAGCAGUGGGGAAUAUUGCACAAUGGAGGAAACUCUGAUGCAGCCAUGCCGCGUGUGUGAAGAAGGCUUUCGGGUUGUAAAGCACUUUCAGCGAGGAGGAAAGGGCGUAGGUUAAUAACUUGCGUCUGUGACGUUACUCGCAGAAGAAGCACCGGCUAACUCCGUG